rnacentral:rRNA from 1 species
AUUGAACGCUGGCGGCAUGCCUAACACAUGCAAGUCGAACGGCAGCACGGCAGUAGCAAUACUGUGGGUGGCGAGUGGCGGACGGGUGAGGAAUACGUCGGAAUCUGCCCAGUCGUGGGGGAUAACUAGCCGAAAGGUUAGCUAAUACCGCAUACGACCGAGAGGUGAAAGCGGGGGACCGCAAGGCCUCGCGCGAUUGGAUGAGCCGACGUCGGAUUAGCUAGUUGGUGGGGUAAAGGCCCACCAAGGCGACGAUCCGUAGCUGGUCUGAGAGGAUGAUCAGCCACACUGGAACUGAGACACGGUCCAGACUCCUACGGGAGGCAGCAGUGGGGAAUAUUGGACAAUGGGCGCAAGCCUGAUCCAGCAAUGCCGCGUGUGUGAAGAAGGCCUCGGUUGUAAG